ensembl:lncRNA
CAGGGUUUAUUGUAAAACACACGGUAAUGGGGGGAGCAGGAAAAGGGGCUGAGCUGGACCCAAGGAAAGAAACAAUAAGCAUCCAAAACACCCCUAAGCUAGACUAGCCUAUUUUAACAACAACUAACCAAAAAUACAGUGGGUGGUCCGCCCAGUUCUAACUAGUGUUUUUAACAAAGUCUACCUACGGGUAGUGUAUGCCCAUGGGCGACUUGUCUUGGUUUCCCCUUUUCCCACCAGCAAUCAAACACCAUAACCAAAAACAAUACUCACAGGAGAUGACAAAGUGAUUUGGAGGUGCUCAAACAAAAGAGAGAGUAAGACACAGAGAGGUUGAGACACACAGAGAGGUUGAGACACACAGAGAGGUUGAGACACACAGAGAGGUUGAGACACACAGAGAGGUUGAGACACAAAGAGAGGUUGAGACACAAAGAGAGGUUGAGACACAGAGAGGUUGAGACACAAAGAGAGGUUGAGACACAAAGAGAGGUUAAGACAAAGAGGUUAAGACAAAGAGGUUAAGACACAAAGAGAGGUUAAGACACAAAGAGAGGUUAAGACACAAAGAGAGGUUAAGACACAAAGAGAGGUUAAGACACAAAGAGAGGUUAAGACACAAAGAGAGGUUAAGACACAAAGAGAGGUUAAGACACAAAGAGAGGUUAAGACACAAAGAGAUCUACAUACAUGGCAUUUACAGAGAGAGAUUGAGCUCUAGAGCAAACAAAUGAUGGGGUUUUUAAACCAAGGGAAAGGAACUGUGAUAGGGUAGGAAACAGGAGGAGGUGUGUCUUCUGAUUGAUGAUUGAUUGUUGACUGAUUGGGGAGUGAUGAUGUUCACCUGUGAGGGGAGAAGGAGAGAAAAGAAACACACACAGGAUACUUGUAUCCGUAACAAUUACCUUUAACAGGGAAUUUAUUCUUCCUUUACACAGUAAUUUGGGGGAAAUGGGCUGGAUGGAACCAAAGCAAAGAAAGUAAAAGUUAAAGAGCCCCCUCUCUUAUUUUACCUAUUCUUAAUGCCACCUGGCGUGCUAACCAAAAUACAGGGGGUGGUCCACCCAGGUCUUACCUAGUGUGCUAAGCACUCUUAAGGUGCCUUCCCCUUCCCCCGGGAACAAAAUCAGAAUAAUUACUAAUGUAAAGUGAGUAAUUUCAAUAAUCAAAACCAGUCCUUUUGACAUAAACAUACUUCUGCAGGACCGGCUACAAAACACUUUACAACAAAUUAUACAGACCCACAACAAAACACAGGACACACAAAGAAGCUCUCUCUCCUAACAAAGGAACACUGGCUUUUCAAGCUGCAGAAGGAGUUUGUAAUUGAAAACUGCUGUUUCCCCUGACAAGACGGAGGGUUCAAUCAUCGAGGGGCCGACAAAUAAGCUGCUUAGAAUCCAGAAAGCCAUUUCCUGAAAUACACACAUAUAAACCCAAAACAAUACAGAAACGCGGGAACGUAACACGGUCGACUAGGUUAAAAAAUCUGUCAAUGUGCCCUUGCGCAAGGCACUUAGCCCUAAUUGCUCCUGUAAAUUGCUCUGAAUAAGACUGUCUGCUAAAUUACUAAAGUGUUUAAAAAAAAUACUACUAAUAAUUAAAAAAAUCUCCAGGCUCAUCCCUAAGCUUUUCAUCAAAACACAGGCGGGGUGUCCGCUUUAAUAUAAUAUCAUUAAGGAUUCUACUCAUUCAUUUCUGAAGAAAAACACAAAUGUGAAAAAUGUAUGGAUAGGCUAUUCCGUUUAGCCACACAACUAUCUUUAUAUCUUUAUUUUACCCUUA